UCCUAUGAUGAGCAACAAUUAUUUCGCUGUGUUCUUACUGAACAUCAUUGAAGAAAAAAAAAUUUUCACCUUGGAGAACUGAUAU
rnacentral:snoRNA from 1 species